GUUGACAUCAGGGUAUUGUGUUGAUGAAUGGUUACCCCAGAUAAUAACAUUCUUAACUUCAGAUACUUGAACAUUCAAUCUCUCUGAAAUUUGGCCCAAUGCCCUAUUGUGGUCCAAUCUCGUCAAGCAAGAAAUAUUUUUCUCCGGGAUGGAAGGAGCAAACUCCUUCAAGAUCAAUGCAUUAGUAUUUGCCGGGUUAGCAACAACCAAGACCUUACAGUUGGCAGCAGCGUGCUUUUCAAGGGCAGAAGCCUGAGCCUUGUAGAUCGAGACAUUUUUGGACAUCACGUCUUUUCUUUCCAUACCCUCUUUCCUUGGGAAUCCACCAACCAUAAUGGCAAUAUUGACACCAGUGCAGGCCUCAACCACAUCAGUUGUAGCAACAACACCUUUAAGGAGUGGAAAAGCAGCAUCCACCAACUCCAUUUUUACACCAUUCAAAGACUCUGCAGCAGGUGGGAUAUCAAGCAUGUGCAAGAUGACAGGUUGGUUAGGUCCUAGCAAUACUCCUCUGGCAAUCAUAGGCACAAGAGCAUAUCCGAUUUGUCCUGCAGCUCCAGUGACAAGGACUCUAACUGGUUCUUGUGCCAUGGCUGACGAAGAUCAACGAGGAGAGAAAGACGAAGAAUCGGAAGAGAAAAUGAAGGAAAAUCAAUGGAAGAGUGUUAGGUCCUAGCAAU
rnacentral:misc_RNA from 1 species